rnacentral:lncRNA from 1 species
CCCAAGGAUACAUAGGAAUGUCAACUUAGAAACUUCUAGAAUCUUUAAAUAUGCCAACUCACCAAAACACUAAUUGCCAUGAAUCAGAAAAUUACAUUCAGCCAUGGGUUUCAGCAAGUCUGGAUUUUAACUUCACAGAUCAAAAAGAAUUCUAAACAUAAAAGGAUAAUAAAGAGCAACAUCUUAGCUUGCACUUACAGGCAAAACUUCCUAUGCUGGAGCCGCCAAGAGAGUUCAAACUUGGAUGCUAACUCAUUAAACCCC